AACACAGCCCCAUGUCCAUCCAAAAGAUGAAAAAAAAACCCGCUCCCGUCAUUGUCCACCUCUCCCGACUCCUUCCGUUCUAGGGUUGCUUGCGGACGGCUGCUGCCCAACGCCCCCUUCCGGCGGCGGCGCCCCUAAUUCUCUCCUUCCCUACCAGCUGCUAUCCCUUCCGGCGGCAACCACCAACUCGCCCUAUCCUUUCCUCCUACGAAGUGGAGACCGGUGAUGGUCAUGUCCCCCAUGGCGAAUAUCGUUGUUGUUUAUUCUCCUCAUUCAAUGUUCAGUUCUGACCGCAGGCAGUGAAGCGGUAUGAUCCAGCAGAAAUGAUUAAGUCUGGGCGGAUUUGAAGCAUUCUCCUGAAAUAUGGUGGCGUUGGUGCUCCAGGUCAAAGUACCAGUGCGUCUCCGGCCACUGCAUCUCACAUCAGUUUGUGAAGGUAACAGUUGUUGCCGGUGCGCUUCAUGAAGGUAACGACGGUUGAGCAGGUGAUCAAUGAGUUUUAUAUAUACUUACAUAUAAUUCAGCCGACCGAUAUUUGCAUGAAGCCAAUGUAUAUGGGAUCUAUAUUCGCUAAAUUAUGUCUCUGCACUUUUAUGUGGUUUUUUUUAAUUUUCUUUUCAGGCCUUCGCACUUUUCCUAAAUAGAGCUCCUAUUAUUUUGUGUGAGAACUGGUCUUUUAUUUUGAGACGAGUGACAAAAAUCUGAAGUUUCACAUGAACAAAUUUUGAUCCAUCAAGAUUAGCAUUUGAACAUAAUGCUUUUUUAUGUAGUUUUACUUCCCUACUACAGCUGAUAUUCUUCUUCUAUUAUUAAUACUGUAGUCAUGCCUUGCCACUCAUUACAUAUAAGUACGGGUUCUGUCCUUUUCCCUACUACAGCGGAUAUUCUAUUAUUGAUGUUUAUGCCAAGCAUUAUUGUGUUUCUGUUCUAGAAUUAUACUAGAAAUCACUGACAUAACAUAAUUCCUUUCCUUUUUUUUACUACACUAGAUUUUCCAUUACGAUGACAUCGCUUUCUAUGUUGGUUGAAUAUUUUACUGUCAUCAAGUUCAGGCUCUUGGAUCGACAUAACCGGUGAUAUAAGGCCUGAUGAUAGGACUGCAAGGCUUUGUGUAAUUAUUCUGUUGUUAAUCCACGCGGCCAAAUUCAUCGGAUAAUUGACACAUUGUAGAUAGUCAUGCUACUAUUAUUUCUUAAUUAAAUUCCAUUAUUUUUGUGGAGAGAUAUUGAGCUUAUAUGCAGCAGCAGAAUGAAUCAAAUUGAUGUCUGUUAUCUUUUGUUGCAAGGAUUAGUAUUUCCAUUCUUUCUGUAUAUUAUUACUCCAUAGAGAAUCUCACUAACAAAAGAAUUGGGUCUGAUACUAUCCAUACCUAGAAAUUCAUUUCAUUGGUUUUGUAUGUAAUACAUAUCUGAAGUAGCUUAUGGAUUAUUUUCUCUCGCUCCAUUUGGUGUUUCAUUUUUCACAGCGUACAUUAUAUUUCAAGAAAGAGUGUGAAGAUGAGCGGGUAAUCACUUGCAAGUUUGCCAUGUCCUAUAUCUACUAUGCAACAUUCAGUUACAUGAACAUGUAAGUACACUUCCUCCUAAGCACAAAGCUAGAUUGGAGUGCUAGGCUUCUGCAUCAAUAAUGUAAAAUUACUUUAAUGCAAUUGUGUGUGCAUCAGUAAAGAGAACAUGAUUUAUCAGAUGUUCCACCAGAACUACUCAAAUGACAAGCAAGCCCACUUCUAUGGUGUGCUUCUCUUACAAAUAGAGUGUGAUGAGUAUUUUGCAUUUCUGUCUCAGUUAAGUGUGCAUUAGUUCAUUAACUGUUCUUAUAUUUUUGGUGAUGAGAUCAUGUAGAAACCGAGCAACCCAUGUGUACGUAGUUAUUUAGUAGGAUUUGUGGCAUAGCCUUCAGAUUACCCAUCAUGUAUUCUGAAAUAUUAUUCAUGUCUCUUUGAUUUAGUGCUCAAAAUAUAUUUGGUAUAGAUUAUGAUGGUGAGAUAUAUAGGUAAAUUAACUGGUGCACCAUGGUACCUAUGCACUGACAAUCAAUUAAUGGGAAUACAUGACACUAACCACAUAUGGUACAUCACUUUUAGCUUUCUACAUGUGGGCCUGAUAUCCAUAGUGGUUACAUGUCUCUCCAAAGUUCUUUAAUGUUAAUGACACUGAAGCAUAAUAGCAAGUGCCUAAAAAUUCUGGUUUUCUCUACUAAUCUGGUUAUCUUGCUUGAUAUUAACUCCUUCAUUAGCUAUUUUUGCAUGCAUUAGACAUACUAGAUCAGUGAAGCAUUUCUCCACUAAUAAUUUUCUGAAUGCCUCAGUUCUGUCUGAAAGGGAGUUAUACAUCCUACACAUCUUGAAUUAUGGAAGGUGCAUACUACUUUAGCUAUGAGUAUUUGUGAUAAGAUAAAUUUGUGUUGACUCUAAUGUUUGUCAUUAAUGAAAUUGCAUCUUUUUGUUCAGUUCAAUAUUUGCUAGAGAAGCCUUAGAAUUAUAGCUUGCCCCUGAUUACAAAUGAGUGGUGCUUCUUUUACCAACACCAGAUUGGCACAUAGAAUCAGCCAACCAAUGUGAUUCUAUUUCCUGGUGCAUACCACCAAUGUAAUUUGUCUCUUUAUCAAGCAAUUAGAAGUUCGCUUUUGACUUUACGAGGGUUAACAGGUUAAGUAUGGUUGUCUCCUUAUAUACUUUUUCUUCAGGCCAGUCCACCUGCCCAUGGAGAAUAUACAGACAAUGGUGUCAUCUUGGCCCAGUUUAUGGGGUUAUACCUAUGCUAACAUGGUCCUUACUUUUUGCCUAGGAAUUCGUUUAAUGUAGUUAUAGUCUCCAAGCUGAUUGCAGUUGCAAACAAGUGCCUGAACUAAAAAAAUGAGUGGUCCUGGUCUUAUUAUUCUGCUAUUUUUUUAGUUCAUAUAAAUCCUUCUUAUCUUUUCAACAUUAAUAAGCAUGUUAUAUUUGUGCCAACUGAUUCAUCACACCUACAACUUCCUUACAUAUGCAGUUAUAUUUUCAGUGCUUUGAGUAUCAUCUGGUUACCUAGCUAUGACAGUUCUGCUUCAAGAUUGGAUAUCAAUUGAAGAGUUCAGUUAUCAGCCACGAGGAAGGAAGAAAAUAUCUGCACAAGUCAUUUUUUUAUUCCGUAUACGGAUUGAUUUGAAUGAAACCUGGCCGAAAUCACAGUAGUUAUGAUUAGAACAGAUUAGUCCUUGCCUAUUAACAGUUUCUUAUUCUUUAAGAUUUACAAACUCAUGAAGUCUGAGGUUCGUGAUCUUUUUACUCGCUGAUUAGUGUGUAUGUGUUAUUUUAUUGUAGCUCUGGAAGGAAGAAGCAACACCUGAACUUAUUAAGGGAAAGUUAGGAUUAAAAGUAA